AGAGUUUGAUCCUGGCUCAGAAUGAACGCUGGCGGCAUGCCUAACACAUGCAAGUCGAACGAUGCUUUCGGGCAUAGUGGCGCACGGGUGCGUAACGCGUGGGAAUCUGCCCCUCGGUUCGGAAUAACAGUUGGAAACGACUGCUAAUACCGGAUGAUGACGUAAGUCCAAAGAUUUAUCGCCGAGGGAUGAGCCCGCGUAGGAUUAGCUAGUUGGUGUGGUAAAGGCGCACCAAGGCGACGAUCCUUAGCUGGUCUGAGAGGAUGAUCAGCCACACUGGGACUGAGACACGGCCCAGACUCCUACGGGAGGCAGCAGUGGGGAAUAUUGGACAAUGGGCGAAAGCCUGAUCCAGCAAUGCCGCGUGAGUGAUGAAGGCCUUAGGGUUGUAAAGCUCUUUUACCCGGGAUGAUAAUGACAGUACCGGGAGAAUAAGCUCCGGCUAACUCCGUGCCAGCAGCCGCGGUAAUACGGAGGGAGCUAGCGUUAUUCGGAAUUACUGGGCGUAAAGCGCACGUAGGCGGCUUUGUAAGUAAGAGGUGAAAGCCUGGAGCUCAACUCCAGAAUUGCCUUUUAGACUGCAUCGCUUGAAUCAUGGAGAGGUCAGUGGAAUUCCGAGUGUAGAGGUGAAAUUCGUAGAUAUUCGGAAGAACACCAGUGGCGAAGGCGGCUGACUGGACAUGUAUUGACGCUAAGGUGCGAAAGCGUGGGGAGCAAACAGGAUUAGAUACCCUAGUAGUCC
rnacentral:rRNA from 1 species